rnacentral:rRNA from 1 species
AUUGAACGCUGGCGGCAAGCCUUACACAUGCAAGUCGAACGGCAGCGCGGGAGCAAUCCUGGCGGCGAGUGGCGAACGGGUGAGUAAUAUAUCGGAACGUGCCCUAGAGUGGGGGAUAACUAGUCGAAAGAUUAGCUAAUACCGCAUACGAUCUACGGAUGAAAGUGGGGGAUCGCAAGACCUCAUGCUCGUGGAGCGGCCGAAAUCUGAUUAGCUAGUUGGUAGGGUAAAAGCCUACCAAGGCCACGAUCAGUAGCUGGUCUGAGAGGACGACCAGCCAAACUAGGACUGAGACACGGCCCAGACUCCUACGGGAGGCAGCAGUGGGGAAUUUUGGACAAUGGGGGAAACCCUGAUCCAGCAAUGCCGCGUGUGUGAAGAAGGCCUUCGGGUUGUAAAGCACUUUUGUCUGGAACGAAACGGGCCGAGCUAAUAUCUUGGCCUAAUGACGGUACCGGAAGAAUAAGCACCGGCUAACUACGUGCCAGCCGCCGCCGUAA